AAUUUAUUUUCAUGUUUUAUUUGCUUGAGCACGCUAACUACUAAAGCCUACAGAGACAUUUCCUCUCAACUGGGAGACCUCGAGCAAAGGUCCCUGCGGGAAGAGUUUUUGGUGGGGGUGUGGAUUCAUCUCCCAUCAAUCAGCCGGUGCAUUAAUCCUGUCCCUCCAGUGCUGCCAGGGCUGGCAGGAUCUUGCGUUUAGGCAGGCGGACGCCUUCACUCUUUGUUGCUUCUCAGCGAUUUCAUAAAAGACAUAACUUGCAAACUUGGUUCGACUACUUGCAGCGCGAAGGCAGGAUCCCAACUUACACGUUAUCACCAAAACACCCCAAAACGUUUCAGACCACAAAGUCUCCCUGUCAGGUUCCCUCUCGCCUCCGAAACAGCGGUGGCCUCACCAAACACCCUCUGCCACUAAUCCCUGCUGCUGAAAGGACUCGGGUUUUUCUUCGCAGCUCACCUCUGACAUGUGGUUGACUACACUUUCCUUUCAAAACAGUGAGGCUAAGCCCUCUGCAAAUAAAGUGAUCGCAGGACCUACACUUGCCUCCUUAAUUGAAAUCUGCCUGCUGCAAAACACCGAGGGCAGGGUGCCUGGCUGGCUCCAGAGCAGGACGGGCAAAAAGUUUAGGGAAAGGCAGAAAGCAAACACAAGCCAAAGGAUGGAAAGGGGUUACGAGCAGACCAAGGGAAAACGUAGGUAGGUGGGGAGGGAGGGCAGGAGGGGGAUCAUUCCCCUUAUCCCGGGUAAUAUAAUGCAAUAUAAAGCAGAAUCAAUCUUAAUAUUCACAACACAGUCAAUACCCUAGUGCUUAGCUGUCAGCAGAAACUGAAGUGGAUCCCCGGUAGCAAAGAAACCUUAGGACAUAAAGCACCAUAAUUCACUGAGAACUGUGCACUUUAGGCUUCUCACAGCUGAGAUUUGCAAUGAUUUCACUUUUUUGUCUAGUCUUACGUGGAACUAAAGGGGAAUGCGACUGAGUAUCAAAUAUAGCAAAAAGCCAGCCAAUGCACGUAUUUAAACUCCACAUCACAAUAAAUGUUCUUACUCUCACAAUACAAAGCAGAAUACUUUGCAAAUGUUCUUCUUAAAUAGGAAAAUUCUCUGUAAAUUCAGUGAUGUGAAAAAAAAAUGCUGAAAAAAAAAAAUCACCUAUAAUGCCCCUAAGAAAAACACGGAGUUUAUAAGUGUUGCACUAAUGAGGAAAACAAGUAUUUUUAUAUACUUUUGAGAUUAAAUAUUUGGCGUUUGAAACAUCAUCACUCAGGAGCAACCGGAGCUUUGCUGCACCCUCACAAGCAGGGGGAUCUCUCUGGAGUCUCCCUGCCCGGGGCAGCUUUGCUCUCCCUCAGAAACUUUAUCGUCCCCGCUGCGUGCUACGCAUCCCGGGAAAAGAAAUUAAUAAAAUAUAUGAGGUAACGCAGGUCUGACAAGUGCUUUGCCAAGUGUCCUGACGGCUAAAAAGGCAGCCCGGGCGCUAGCGGGGUCCCUCCGGAGCCGCGAGGAGAGCGACGGGGGACUCCGCACCGCGCCAUUUCACAGCGAACCAACCCGACCGAGCCGCCGCCGGGACGGGUCCCCUCAGGUCGGCGGGAGGACGCUGAACAAGGCGGGUUUCAUCCUGUGGCAGUUCAACGCGUGCUUCCUGAAAGAGAGCAAGAGGACAAGCGGUUAAAAGCCGUGUUUCAGCAACAUGGCGCCUUCGCCGAUAAGGAUUCCCCCCCCCCCCUUCUCCGUGUCUUCGUCCCCUCUUUCCCUGCCCGCCAGCACCCGCGGACCGGCGCCGGGAGCUCCCGUUCGAGAGCUCCCGGCGCCAGUCCGCGGGUGCUGACGGGCUGAGGUGUGAGCAGCGCCGGUUCGGUGGCAGCCGCUUCUCCCUCCCUCCUUUUCCCCCCUGCUUAUGACUUUUAUACCGAAUUAUCUUUGUGCAAAUGCCGCCGGGCCGAGGGGUAUAAAUCACACACACACCCCCCCCUUGUCGCCGGUACGAUCCGUCCUGCGAUAUUAUAACUGAUUUAUUAACGAGAUGGGGAAGGGGCAGAGUUAACAUUCUUUGUUUUUGUAUUUAUUGUGAUUUAAAACAGGCAGGUUUGGGUUUGUUGGUCCGUUCCCCCCCCCCUUCCCGAAGCAGUAUCUUGUCAGGUUUGUAAUUUAUCUGCCACCACUUCGGGGGCAGGGAAGGAAGGAAGGAAGGAAAGAAGGGGAAAAGUUGCGGAGCCACCCGACAGACGGACGGGAGGGACAGACGGACACACACAGCGGCUGUAGGGCCGGUGUCCGCCGGACGGUGUCCAAGAGGAACGGACAAGGGAUCAGCCAGAGCUUCCCUCGCUCCGGAGCGAUAAGCAAAAGCAUCGCAUACUCAGAUAUUUAUUUUUUAUAUAUAUAUAUUAAAAUAUUAAAUAGCAA